CUGAUUCUGAUAAAAAGAAUAAAGGGAAAAACUUCUUCAGUGACUGUAUCAUGCAUGUGACAUAUCCAUGCUUAAGCAUCAUUCUCUGGGGCUUAUUUAUGCAGAAAUCGUUCCUAAUGUUGAAUAAACAACACACUCUUCCUUCAGAGUGCACAAUUAAUUCUUUUCCUACUGCAACAAAUAGAGUUUCUCCUUCUCUUUUCUUUCCACUAUUUUCUAUUUUUUAUCUUUUGAUAAGAAACUGUGAAUGUCAUUCUUUGUUUUCAAUAUCUUAAUUCUUAAGUUGUUUUUCAAUUGAAUUUUCUUCAAACAAGCAAUCAUUAAUCACACAAUGACAUUUCUCUUAUAUAUGAGAAAAGAAUAGACUUCUAUUUAUUAUAACUUAGUGUUAAUCAUGGUAAAGGCUUGUUUAUUUGGUCUUUGUUUAACUAGUUUCUGUACCUUGCAAUUGCUUCUUUGUUGUCUUAUUAAAUUAAUAUAUGUUUUCUGCAUAUAACAUUUGCAAAAUCUAGUUUCUUUGUUCUAAUUCUGAAGUUCACCUUUUCUAGUGAACUCAAUGAUACCAUUGUCCAAGCUCAAUUAAGGACAAGACAAGUUCUGCCCUUGCUUCCCAUCAAAGAUGCAGUUGAACGAUAUUCACAAGCUAAUAAUCGUUUGCUUAUUCUGGGAUUCAAUGCAACUCUAACGGAACAGUUGGACACUUUAGAUAGACGGGGUGGUCAAAUUAGAGAAAUGGAACCUAGAUUGCACCCAGAAUUAAAAGAGCCCUUGAAGAAACUUUGUGGUGAUCAAAAGACAACUAUUGUUGUCCUCAGUGGAAGUGACAGAACCAUUCUGGAUGAGAACUUUGGAGAAUACAAUAUUUGGUUGGCCGCUGAAAAUGGGAUGUUCUUACGUCGUACAACUGGAAAGUGGAUGACAACAAUGCCAGAAAAUCUCAAUAUGGAUUGGGUCGACAGUGUAAAGCAUGUUUUCGAGUAUUUUACAGAAAGAACACCUCGAUCUCAUUUUGAGCUUCGUGAAACUUCUCUCUUAUGGAAU
rnacentral:misc_RNA from 1 species